GAUGAACGCUGGCGGCGUGCUUAACACAUGCAAGUCGAACGAACUGUUCUAGAGGAAGUUUUCGGAUGGAAUCUAGGAUAGUUAGUGGCGAACGGGUGAGUAAUGCAUCGGAACGUGCCCAGUCAUGGGGGAUAACUACGCGAAAGCGUAGCUAAUACCGCAUACGCCCUGAGGGGGAAAGUGGGGGAUCUUCGGACCUCGCGCGAUUGGAGCGGCCGAUGUCGGAUUAGCUAGUUGGUGGGGUAAAAGCCCACCAAGGCGACGAUCCGUAGCGGGUCUGAGAGGAUGAUCCGCCACACUGGGACUGAGACACGGCCCAGACUCCUACGGGAGGCAGCAGUGGGGAAUAUUGGUCAAUGGACGCAAGUCUGAACCAGCCACGUCGCGUGAAGGAAGACGGCCCUACGGGUUGUAAACUUCUUUUAUACGGGAAUAAAGUGCCCCACGCGUGGGGUUUUGCAUGUACCGUAUGAAUAAGGAUCGGCUAACUCCGUGCCAGCAGCCGCGGUA
rnacentral:rRNA from 1 species